AAAUGUGAUGAAAUGAACUCCGAUGUUCCAGAUGCAGCAUCAAGACAUCCUGCCGCAAGAGAAGACCAUGGAGUCAAGAAGAAAUCUGCGCUGUUGAGAAGACCCUGAUGAAAUUUAUCACUACAGGCAGAACUCCUGCGUUUCUUGUAUCAACUCAGCACCUGAAGCACUUAAGUUCCGUGACUGGAUGUCAGUUAAGUUUUAUGUCAAAAAUCGUUGUGUGUCCUACCAAAGAACCACACAGACCCUUUUAUAGCAAUUUGAUAAGAAUGAGUUUGGGGGUGGGAGAUGGGAAUGUGUUCAGUUUUCUUAACAGGGCUUGAGCAUUUCAGAGGACCACACAAUACAUGCCCUGUACUUACACAGUAUUCUUGUUUAUAUUUUAUGUUGGCAGAGGGUCAGCAAUGUUUUUGUCAUUGGUAUUACAGUACAUGCACUUUAUUUUAACAGUACUUAAAUGAUUUUAGGUUGGGAGAGGGUCAAUUGUGUACUUUCGUUGUUAAUACUACAUGCUCAUACAAACAGGCUUUAGAGGAAAAUUAAUGAUGCUCAUGAUUGUAAUAAUGUUGAAGUGUAAAGAGUUGCGUGUGAGAAGAAGGUACAUUGUAUCCUUGUUGACGAGGUUCGUUAAAAAUAUUCUGACAACACAAUUUUUUUUAUUCAUUUUAAUAUUUCUUUUAUUUUCAUUAUUCACUUGGUAUCUGCAAUGCCUGAGUAGAUAUUUUAUAUUGAGAAGGUAUCUGCUUUUUCACAUGGUGUUGACUGUAGCAUUACUAGCACUUUCAGAAAUAAUGUACGCUAAUAACUAUCACAACAAUCUACCUCAUAACGUUCUAAUGAAGUGUGGUUGUGCAUUCUGGCACUGUGUUAAGCAGCCAAUAAAUGUGUUGAUUGCUACUGUUUUUAUUUCUUUCCUUGUGUAUAAUGUGAUAGCUUCAACUUGGUGUCAUGAGGCAGGUCUCACGAGUAUUUCCAAAACAACAGUAAAUCCUCAAAUACCUCAUGGUAUUAUAGUAUAAGAUGCAUUGCAACUUGAACAAAUGUGGUUUACAUUACAUGUGCUCCUUCAGAAUGGUUUUCAGUAUAUCCAAGAAAAUACAGAAGUUGGUCCCCAGAUUGCACUGUGCUUGUUGAUUACAUCACUUGGGUGGGCGUAACUAUGGGCGGGGCCAGAGUCCUCACUUUGACCACCUGACACCUGUCCCCUGUGGCUGGUCAGGAGUCAGGUGUCAGACUAACUUCAGGUGUCCCCAGGCGGUGAUAAAGAUGGGUAUGUG